UACGUAGGGGGCAAGCGUUGUCCGGAGUCAUUGGGCGUAAAGCGCGUGUAGGCGGCCAGAAAAGUCCGCUGUGAAAACUCGAGGCUCAACUUCGAGCUGUCGGUGGAAACUUUCUGGCUAGAGUCCGGAAGAGGAGAAUGGAAUUCCUGGUGUAGCGGUGAAAUGCGCAGAUAUCAGGAAGAACACCCGUGGCGAAGGCGGUUCUCUGGGACGGUACUGACGCUGAGACGCGAAAGCGUGGGGAGCGAACAGG
rnacentral:rRNA from 1 species